GGGGAAUAUUGGACAAUGGGCGAAAGCCUGAUCCAGCAAUGCCGCGUGAGUGAUGAAGGCCUUAGGGUUGUAAAGCUCUUUUACCAGGGAUGAUAAUGACAGUACCUGGAGAAUAAGCUCCGGCUAACUCCGUGCCAGCAGCCGCGGUAAUACGGAGGGAGCUAGCGUUGUUCGGAAUCACUGGGCGUAAAGCGUGCGUAGGCGGUGACUCAAGUCAGAGGUGAAAGCCUGGAGCUCAACUCCAGAACUGCCUUUGAAACUAGGUCGCUAGAAUGUCGGAGAGGUGAGUGGAAUUCCGAGUGUAGAGGUGAAAUUCGUAGAUAUUCGGAAGAACACCAGUGGCGAAGGCGGCUCACUGGACGACUAUUGACGCUGAGGCACGAAAGCGUGGGGAGCAAAC
rnacentral:rRNA from 1 species